GUUUAACAAGCUGAUAUUUGACUCAAGUUCUAUUCUUUGAAUUAUUCAAUUAAGUUAUAUUAUUCGACAUCAAACACACUUUUUUACAGUUAAGAUGAAACUUCAAUGCAUUUUAAUAUCGCUUGUCCUUGUCAAAGUUAUGGCAAUAACUACAACGGACUAUAAAAUAUCGG